UUUGUAAAAUCUUCUAUUGUGGUGCUUGUUCCAGUCAAGGGACUUGGAACAAGGGAAAGGCGUCCCAAGCCUAAGUGUAAUUGGGGGUUUUAGGGUUUGUUGUUAGUCCGGUGUAAAACAACGAGUUGGGUAGUGAACUCGCAAAAACUACCGUACUGUAAUCGUGGAUUAUAGUGGAAAUUCCCAACGGUGCUUUGGGGAGUGGAUGUAGGAGCGGUGGAGGCUCCGAACCACUAUAAAAGCUUGUGUUUGCGAUUGCUUGUCUUCAUAGCUUUAUUUUUGUUUAGCUCAUACAUUUGUGAGUUCUAUUUUUAAACAGUCAAAAGUUUUUAAAACACCCAAUUCACCCCCUCUUGGGUGACCAUCUCUGGGUAACAAGUGGUAUCAGAGCGGGUGCUCUGUGUAUUUCUUAAAAGACCUAACCGUCUUAGCCAAAGAUCUAGAUGGCAACACCCUUUAACAAUGUUCCUGCCGAGGGGCAAGCAACCAAUAGACCUCCACUCUUCAAUGGGACAAAU
rnacentral:lncRNA from 1 species